rnacentral:rRNA from 1 species
UACGUAGGGGGCAAGCGUUGCCCGGAUUUAUUGGGCGUAAAGAGCGUGUAGGCGGCUGGGUAGGUCCGCUGUGAAAACUCGAGGCUUAACCUCGAGACGUCGGUGGAAACCCUCCAGCUAGAGUCCGGAAGAGGAGAGUGGAAUUCCUGGUGUAGCGGUGAAAUGCGCAGAUAUCAGGAAGAACACCCGUGGCGAAAGCGGCUCUCUGGGACGGUACUGACGCUGAGACGCGAAAGCGUGGGGAGCGAACAGG